rnacentral:lncRNA from 1 species
GCCAACUCCUCCUCCUAUCUGGACUUCCACGUCCACCCUUUGUACCUCUGGCCUGGCUCUCUUGGUUAGGGCCCUUCUUAGCUUUCAAAUCUAGGUUUCUGUUCCUUUCCCUGACCCACACAGGCCAUAGUGAAACUGAACACUAGCUGCCCUCUGACUUUACCUUCCCACCUCCACUCUCACUGAAGACAUGCACUGUCCAGAGCCGCCUUCCCUUCCACAUUAUGUCUUAACCUGGCUAUCUUUCUCAGCCCAGGGAGCUGUCCCUCUUCCUUUUGUGGCUGUUAAUGGCUUCCUGUGAAGUUACCGAGCAUGCUCUCAGUAUAUUUCUUACAAAGGAAUCGCUUUCACCCUGUGAAAUCAUUAUUUGUAUAGACUUUCUUCAAACCUUACAACUAACCGCUGUUCAACUACACAUCUCAUCACCACAACAACUGUUAAAAACGUCAGCAUGUGGGUAGAGCUCUAGAAGCUGGAAUGAAAGAAUUUAUACAUGUUGUACUUCUGUGUGCCCAUGUGCUCACCUUGAGGCCAGCAUCACCAGUUCUGCCAAACCUUUGCCUACUGACCUGCAGCUCUCUCUACAUGAUUGCAAAUGUUGUUUCAAACGGUAAAGUCUUAAGAGCCAGUGACUGAUGUGUUUGGUCCCUGCUGAAUGCUUCCCGCUAAGUGCAACACAGACAUUAAAAGGCCUGGGCUAUGUUGAUGAGCAGGGAGGGAAGAUUUGUCAAAGGGACAUUGAUCUCUGUCUUGAUUCUCCACUUCCAGCAGUGCUUCUCUCCCAGGAUCCUGGCGACUUUCCCAGGAUGCUCAGCGAAGGUCUUUUCUCCAAACUUUUCCUUUCAUAAGUAACUGUAUGAACUGGACUGAACAGAAGUUUGAAGGCUGACAUGUUUUCAACAGCCCUCCUUUAAAGACUAGCUUAAAUGUCAUUUGUGUUUUCUGUGAAGACUCUACUGACUUCCUGAAUCAGUCACUUCCUCCUGUGGGAGACCACACUUCGUUGACACUCUAGCAUAGUACAAUGAUGCAGCUGUUUAUAAUUGCACACAUACACAAACUGCCUAUUUGUAUAUGUAUACUGCUAACGCCAUUGGAAGGUCUGCCUAACAGGAUAUAAGUAUAAAUUAUAACAAAUGUUUCUGUUAGUUUUAUUUAAAUAGGAGGAUUCCUGGAUAUUUAACAGCUCAUGCAGUAGUAGUUUAGGAAUUAGAGAGUCAAACAUUGGGAAUACCAAUUAAGAAUAUUUUAGAUAACAAGCAGCUUUCAAGUCUGAUAACACUGGGUGUGGUGACUCUAGAGCAGUUCAUCCCAGCCAUUGGAAUGUUGAAGCAGGAGGGAUGCUCUGAGUGGAGGCCAGCCUGAGCUACAUAGUGAGCUCCAGGCCUGCCUGAGAUACAGAGUCAGACUGAGAACUCUGCUUCUGGCAUUUCACUCUGCUAUCUCUCCUGAGAACUGGACGAUCAGUUUUGGGUAUGUUCACAAUGCACAGAACAUUACCAACCUUCCAUUUUUGUUUCUUCUAAUUAGUCUCCGACUGUGCUACCUUACACCCCUGACUCUCAUUUCUGCCCUGAUACCGUAAAUACCGUGACAUUCUAGUCAUUUUAAUUGUGAAACACAGGCAUGUCUAUUUUUAAAGAGAUGAGGGAAGUAGAGCACAGCACCCAUUGCUCUUUUUCAGUCUUCUUAUUGUAAAAUUGGGGGCAGGGAAGAGAGGCACUCAUCAGAGUUUGUCAUAUGAAAACAUCCAUGCUGGUCUGAGGUAUGAA